rnacentral:lncRNA from 1 species
GUUCCCCUGCACAUGCUCUCUUGCCUGCUGUCAUGCAACGUGUCUUUGCUCCUCCUUCACCUUCCGCCAUGAUUGUGAGGCUUCCCCAGCCAUGUGGAAACAUAUUCGCAGAGCACCCACUAGGUGCCAGUAAAUGUAUGAGAAGUCCUGUGGAAUAAGACUGAAGUUGUCCUUGCCUUCAAGCAACUUGCAAUUGCCUAAGAACACAGUUUAAAACCACAAAACUAAGCCUUGGAAAUCACAUGCUGUCAUUUCUGCGAUCGGUCAUAACCAGUCCUGAUUCCAUGUUAGAGGAGACUACAUAAGGACACAGGUACCAGAAGAUGAAAAAUUUGGAGUCUAGUGAAAAGAAGUGACUUGCUCAAAAUCACACAGCACAUGAAGAACAGAGCCUCUAUGAUGAAUUUCUUGACAGGAUCCCAUUGAGGAUGCCACAUUAUGUUUCAUUGCCAUGUCUCCAUAGACUCUUCUUGGUUGUGAUGGUUUCUCACGCUUUUCUUGGUUUUGAAGACGUUGACAAUUUUCUUCCAUUGGGAUUUGCUUGAUGCUUUUCUCAUGAUUACACUGGAACUGUGACUUUUUAGAAGGAAGAUCAUAGAGGAGAAGAAACUGAGGUUCAAGGACUAGUAACCAGCAGCAGAUCACACAGCUGGAAGACAACUAAGAGCAAAAAAACUCACAACAGAUGGAGGACUCAAUGCUUAUGUUGGAGAAGGAAGCUACAUUGUCCCUGAGUUCAUGGAAAUGUCAAGUCUAGAAGAUGGAAAAGUUCAGUUAAUAUCUCCAGAGACCCACA